CCUACGGACGGCAGCAGUGGGGAAUAUUGCACAAUGGGGGAAACCCUGAUGCAGCGACGCCGCGUGAGUGAAGAAGUAUUUCGGUAUGUAAAGCUCUAUCAGCAGGGAAGAAAAAAGACGGUACCUGACUAAGAAGCCCCGGCUAACUACGUGCCAGCAGCCGCGGUAAUACGUAGGGGGCAAGCGUUAUCCGGAUUUACUGGGUGUAAAGGGAGCGUAGACGGCUCGGCAAGUCUGAAGUGAAAGGCAGUGGCUAAACCCCUGAACUGCUUUGGAAACUGCCAUGCUAGAGUACUGGAGAGGUAGGUGGAAUUCCUAGUGUAGCGGUGAAAUGCGUAGAUAUUAGGAGGAACACCAGUGGCGAAGGCGGCUUACUGGACAGAAACUGACGUUGAGGCUCGAAAGCGUGGGGAGCAAACAGGAUUAGAUACCCCUGUAGUC
rnacentral:rRNA from 1 species